AUCCUCACUAGUGUAUAGUAAACAGUUUCAGAGACAACAUACAGGAUGAGGACUUUAGUUAUUCUUUGCUGUCUGGUCCUUUUGAUAUCUAUGGCAAAUUCACAAGGGAUUGGAGCGAUCAACUUUUCAAGUUUUAUACCUGGCGGUUUUAAUAUAACCCAAAUGGUCAACAGUAUAAUGGCGAACAUACGAGCCAAAAAUACAACCUUAUCAACGUCAACGUCAACGUCAACAUCAACGACCACUACUACAUUGGCUCCUUGAACACCAACAUUCUCCUACUAAGAUAGGCCUACAACAAUAAAUCACAAUAAAGGAACAUUAUUAUUUUUUUUAAUACACAAGUCUGAUUAUUACCCCAGUUUAAUGUGUCUAGUAUGCUGUAUUACCAUCACACAAUUACACCACAGAUGACUUUUAGUCGGUUUCAUAAUAUUUUUUUGUUUGUUUUUUUGUCAGCAAUUAUUAUUGACUAUAGGAUAUGUUCUCUUUGUCAGUAAAUUGGGGACAUUUAAAACAUAUCGUAUACAUCGACAUGUAAACCAAUGCAUAUAUUUACUAUUGAAUAUAUUAAAAUUUGUUUCAAAGUGUCGUACCACAUGUAAAUUACAAUA